GAUGAACGCUAGCUACAGGCUUAACACAUGCAAGUCGAGGGGUAACGAGAGGAGAGCUUGCUUUCCUUGUCGACGACCGGCGCACGGGUGAGUAACGCGUAUCCAACCUGCCCCCAACUAGGGAAUAACCUUGCGAAAGUAAGACUAAUACCCUAUAAUUUCCUCAGAUGUCAUCUGACGAGGAAUAAAGAUUUAUCGGUUGUGGAUGGGGAUGCGUCUGAUUAGCUUGUUGGCGGGGUAACGGCCCACCAAGGCAACGAUCAGUAGGGGUUCUGAGAGGAAGGUCCCCCACAUUGGAACUGAGACACGGUCCAAACUCCUACGGGAGGCAGCAGUGAGGAAUAUUGGUCAAUGGGCGGAAGCCUGAACCAGCCAAGUAGCGUGCAGGAUGACGGCCCUAUGGGUUGUAAACUGCUUUUAUACAGGAAUAAAGUUAGCCACGUGUGGUUAUUUGUAGGUACUGUAUGAAUAAGGACCGGCUAAUUCCGUGCCAGCCACCGCGGUAA
rnacentral:rRNA from 1 species